rnacentral:rRNA from 1 species
GAUGAACGCUAGCGGCAGGCCUAAUACAUGCAAGUCGAACGGUGUCUUCGGACAUAGUGGCGCACGGGUGCGUAACACGUAUGCAACCUACCUUACAUUGGGGGAUAGCCUUUCGAAAGGGAGAUUAAUACCGCAUAAGACAGUAGCUGGGCAUCCAGCAGCUGUUAAAGAUUUAUCGAUGUAAGCUGGGCAUGCGUCCAAUUAGCUAGUUGGUGAGGUAACGGCUCACCAAGGCAAUGAUUGGUAGGGGAACUGAGAGGUCAAUCCCCCACACUGGCACUGGGAUACGGGCCAGACUCAUACGGGAGGCAGCAGUAGGGAAUAUUGGGCAAUGGACGCAAGUCUGACCCAGCCAUGCCGCGUGCAGGAUGAAGGCGUUAUGCGUUGUAAACUGCUUUUAUACAGGAAGAAACGACUCUUGCGAGAGGCAUUGACGGUACUGUAUGAAUAAGCACCGGCUAACUCCGUGCCAGCCGCCGCGGUAAGAC